AUACGGAGGAUCCGAGCGUUAUCCGGAUUUAUUGGGUUUAAAGGGUGCGUAGGUGGUUUGAUAAGUCAGCGGUGAAAGUUUGCAGCUUAACUGUAAAAAUGCCGUUGAAACUGUCGGACUUGAGUGUAAAUGAGGUAGGCGGAAUGCGUGGUGUAGCGGUGAAAUGCAUAGAUAUCACGCAGAACUCCGAUUGCGAAGGCAGCUUACUAAGCUACAACUGACACUGAAGCACGAAAGCGUGGGGAUCAAACAGGAUUAGAUACCCUGGUAGUCCACGCAGUAAACGAUGAUUACUAGCUGUUUGCGAUACACAGUAAGCGGCACAGCGAAAGCGUUAAGUAAUCCACCUGGGGAGUACGUCGGCAACGAUGAAACUCAAAUGAAUUGACGGGG
rnacentral:rRNA from 1 species